rnacentral:snRNA from 1 species
GGGUUCAGGGGUUCUCUAUUAUGGCUGUGUCCCCAGAUGUUGUACGGCUCAAUUCAACCAAAAAGCCACUAUCUUCCUCUGGUUUUCCAUGUGUUUCCCUCCCAAAGCUGAGAGCUUGGUCAAAGAUGACGGACUUUUUAUGAUGGCAGAGAACUAUAUAUGUAUUUAGAAAUAUAAAUGCAGUUUCAAUUUCUGUCUAAAGCCUCUUGAAUUCACAGGAAACAAAUGAGAACUGCGAACUUUUAAGAUCUAUAUCCAUAUAUUCAAUUCUCAUUUAGGUGUAGUAAACU